AUACUUACCUGGCAGGGGAGAUACCAUGAUCAUGAAGGUGGUUUCCCCAGGGUGAGGCUCAUCCAUUGCACUCCGGAUGUGCUGACUCCUGCGAUUUCCCCAAAUGUGGGAAACUCGACUGCAUAAUUUGUGGUAGUGGGGGACUGCGUUCGCGCUUUCCCCUG
rnacentral:snRNA from 1 species